rnacentral:rRNA from 1 species
AGGUAUCGCCUGCCCAGUGAAAUUUUUAAACGGCCGCGGUAUUAUAACCGUGCAAAGGUAGCGCAAUCACUUGUCUUCUAAAUAAAGACCAGUAUGAACGGCUAAAUGAGGACAAACCUGUCUCCUAUGGUCAAUCAGUGAAACUGAUCUCUCAGUACAAAAGCUGAGAUAAACCCAUAAGACGAGAAGACCCUGUGGAGCUUAAAACCAACCACCAAUAACGGACUAAAUGCCCCGCCAUGGUGAAAGGUUUUGAGUUGGGGCGACUUCGGAAUAAAAGAAAACUUCCGAGCACAGAACCACCACUUCUUACCAAGGCUAACAAGCCAAAGCAAUAAAUCCGAUCCAGUCACACUGAUCAACGAACCAAGUUACCCCAGGGAUAACAGCGCUAUCUUCUUCAAGAGUCCAUAUCGACAAGAAGGUUUACGACCUCGAUGUUGGAUCAGGACACCCAAAUGGUGCAGCCGCUAUUAAAGGUUCGUUUGUUCAACGAUUAAUAGUCCUACGUGAUCUGAGU